rnacentral:rRNA from 1 species
AGAGCGAACGCUGGCGGCAGGCUUAACACAUGCAAGUCGAGCGGGCGUAGCAAUACGUCAGCGGCAGACGGGUGAGUAACGCGUGGGAACGUACCUUUUGGUUCGGAACAACCCAGGGAAACUUGGGCUAAUACCGGAUAAGCCCUUACGGGGAAAGAUUUAUCGCCGAAAGAUCGGCCCGCGUCUGAUUAGCUAGUUGGUGAGGUAAUGGCUCACCAAGGCGACGAUCAGUAGCUGGUCUGAGAGGAUGAUCAGCCACAUUGGGACUGAGACACGGCCCAAACUCCUACGGGAGGCAGCAGUGGGGAAUAUUGGACAAUGGGCGCAAGCCUGAUCCAGCCAUGCCGCGUGAGUGAUGACGGCCUUAGGGUUGUAAAGCUCUUUCGCUCGGGACGAUAAUGACGGUACCGAGAUAAGAACGCCCCGGCUAACUUCGCGCCAGCAGCCGC